rnacentral:rRNA from 1 species
CCUACGGGAGGCAGCAGUGGGGAAUAUUGGACAAUGGGCGAAAGCCUGAUCCAGCCAUGCCGCGUGUGUGAAGAAGGCCUUCGGGUUGUAAAGCACUUUCAGUGGGGAAGAAAGCCUUGGGGCUAAUACCCUCGAGGAAGGACAUCACCCACAGAAGAAGCACCGGCUAACUCCGUGCCAGCAGCCGCGGUAAUACGGAGGGUGCGAGCGUUAAUCGGAAUUACUGGGCGUAAAGCGCGCGUAGGCGGUCUGAUAAGCCGGUUGUGAAAGCCCCGGGCUCAACCUGGGAACGGCAUCCGGAACUGUCAGGCUAGAGUGCAGGAGAGGAAGGUAGAAUUCCCGGUGUAGCGGUGAAAUGCGUAGAGAUCGGGAGGAAUACCAGUGGCGAAGGCGGCCUUCUGGACUGACACUGACGCUGAGGUGCGAAAGCGUGGGUAGCAAACAGGGUUAGAUACCCGUGUAGUC